UUUUGACGAACGCUGGCGGCGUGCCUAAUACAUGCAAGUAGAACGCUGAAGAGAGGAGCUUGCUCUUCUUGGAUGAGUUGCGAACGGGUGAGUAACGCGUAGGUAACCUGCCUUGUAGCGGGGGAUAACUAUUGGAAACGAUAGCUAAUACCGCAUAACAAUGGAUGACACAUGUCAUUUAUUUGAAAGGGGCAAAUGCUCCACUACAAGAUGGACCUGCGUUGUAUUAGCUAGUAGGUGAGGUAACGGCUCACCUAGGCGACGAUACAUAGCCGACCUGAGAGGGUGAUCGGCCACACUGGGACUGAGACACGGCCCAGACUCCUACGGGAGGCAGCAGUAGGGAACCUUCGGCAAUGGGGGCAACCCUGACCGAGCAACGCCGCGUGAGUGAAGAAGGUUUUCGGAUCGUAAAGCUCUGUUGUAAGUCAAGAACGAGUGUGAGAGUGGAAAGUUCACACUGUGACGGUAGCUUACCAGAAAGGGACGGCUAACUACGUGCCAGCAGCCGCGGUAAUACGUAGGUCCCGAGCGUUGUCCGGAUUUAUUGGGCGUAAAGCGAGCGCAGGCGGUUUGAUAAGUCUGAAGUUAAAGGCUGUGGCUCAACCAUAGUUCGCUUUGGAAACUGUCAAACUUGAGUGCAGAAGGGGAGAGUGGAAUUCCAUGUGUAGCGGUGAAAUGCGUAGAUAUAUGGAGGAACACCGGUGACGAAAGCGGCUCUCUGGUCUGUAACUGACGCUGAGGAUCGAAAGCGUGGGGAGCGAACAGGAUUAGAUACCCUGGUAGUCCACGCCGUAAACGAUGAGUGCUAGGUGUUGGAUCCUUUCCGGGAUUCAGUGCCGCAGCUAACGCAUUAAGCACUCCGCCUGGGGAGUACGACCGCAAGGUUGAAACUCAAAGGAAUUGACGGGGGCCCGCACAAGCGGUGGAGCAUGUGGUUUAAUUCGAAGCAACGCGAAGAACCUUACCAGGUCUUGACAUCCCGAUGCUAUUUCUAGAGAUAGAAAGUUACUUCGGUACAUUGGUGACAGGUGGUGCAUGGUUGUCGUCAGCUCGUGUCGUGAGAUGUUGGGUUAAGUCCCGCAACGAGCGCAACCCCUAUUGUUAGUUGCCAUCAUUCAGUUGGGCACUCUAGCAAGACUGCCGGUAAUAAACCGGAGGAAGGUGGGGAUGACGUCAAAUCAUCAUGCCCCUUAUGACCUGGGCUACACACGUGCUACAAUGGUUGGUACAACGAGUUGCGAGUCGGUGACGGCAAGCUAAUCUCUUAAAGCCAAUCUCAGUUCGGAUUGUAGGCUGCAACUCGCCUACAUGAAGUCGGAAUCGCUAGUAAUCGCGGAUCAGCACGCCGCGGUGAAUACGUUCCCGGGCCUUGUACACACCGCCCGUCACACCACGAGAGUUUGUAACACCCGAAGUCGAAGAGGUAACCUUUUGGAGCCAGCCGCCUA
rnacentral:rRNA from 1 species